rnacentral:rRNA from 1 species
AUGGCCCGUCUCGCCACCCUCGCCGUGCUCCUACUAUCCCUCCUGGCCGUCGCUAGCUGCCGCGUCCUUGAGACCAUCUCCGACGACCAGGGUUCAUCCAACUCCGUCCUCCUCACCCAAGAUGAUCAGGCGGAGGCUGCUGUUGCUGAGGUGACCCUUCCGGCUUUGCCCACCACGGCCGUUGCCGUGGACGAGGGCAUGCUCCGGCUCCCCUCCCACCGCCGCCCCUGCCACCUCCACCGUCACCUCUGGUGGACGCGCCACCACGGCCUCUCCCACCACCGGGGCGCGUUCUCCGGCUCGGGCGAGGCUUGUGUCCAUCCGGCCGUCGACGUCGUCGUGCCCACCGAGCUUGCCCGCGAGGAACAGCAAGAGCCUAGUGUGCCGGAGCUGGAGGCGGUCGCGGAGCCUGACCCCGACUCACGCCCGGACACCGACGCGGCAGAGAAGCUGUUUCAUGGCGACGAGGAAGAGGCAGCGAACGCGUGGAAGGUGGAGAUGCUGAGGAGGUUCCGCCACGGCAUCCGCUUUCACCCCCGCCACCAUCUUCACCACCAACACGAGCAAGACGGGGAGGAGCACGACGACCACGAGCAGGACAAGGCUGAAGGCACGAGCAUGAACCUGUUCGGGCGCUUCCACCACCGCCACCAUCUUCGACACCACCACGAGCAGGACGCGGAGGAGGAGGACGGCCACCAGCAGAACAAGGACGAAGGCCCGAAGAUGAAGCUGUUCCGACGUUUCCACCACCACCACGCGCACGACAGCGACAACGAGGUCGACGAGGUGGAAGAACUGGCUAGGAAGCUGAGCGAGGCGAUCAUGAGAAGGAGCUUCGGCCAUGGCGGCCGCCGCCACCACCACCACCACAACGGCGCGGAGGGCGGGGUGAAGAAGUGGUUCAAGGGCCUCAUGAACCGAUUCUAG